rnacentral:rRNA from 1 species
CAGCCGCCGCGGGAAUACGUAGGUGGCAAGCGUUGUCCGGAAUUAUUGGGCGUAAAGCGUGCGCAGGCGGUUGUGUAAGACAGGUGUGAAAUCCCCGGGCUUAACCUGGGAACUGCGCUUGUGACUGCACAGCUAGAGUAUGGCAGAGGGGGGUGGAAUUCCACGUGUAGCGGUGAAAUGCGUAGAGAUGUGGAGGAACACCAGCGGCGAAGGCGACUCUCUGGUCUGUAACUGACGCUGAGGAGCGAAAGCGUGGGGAGCGAACAGGAUUAGAGACCCCCGUAGUCCCUGUCUCUUAUAC